UACAGAGGGUGCGAGCGUUGUUCGGAAUUACUGGGCGUAAAGCGCGCGCAGGCGGCCCUUUAAGUCUACCCGUGAAAUGCCGGAGCUCAACUCCGCGCACGCCGGGGGAUACUGGAGGGCUGGAGACGAGUAGAGGCAAGCGGAAUUCCGGGUGUAGCGGUGGAAUGCGCAGAUAUCAGGAAGAACACCGAUGGCGAAGGCAGCUCUCUGGGACGGUACUGACGCUGAGACGCGAAAGCGUGGGGAGCAAACAGG
rnacentral:rRNA from 1 species